GGAUCAAUGAUGAAAACAACUCUCUGAAGAUGGUGAAUAACUCAUAUAAACGAAAAUCAGAAGUUGAGAGAUAAGUCC
rnacentral:snoRNA from 1 species